AUGGACGUCCCCGGCGGCCGGGCGUACGGGGAGGAGGAGGAGCUGGACCCGGCGGUGGAGUGGAGGCAGGCCGGCGACGACCAGGACGUGGUGGAGCUCCGGCUGCCGGGGUUCCGGAAGGAGCACGUGCGCGUGCAGGUCGACAACUACGGCGUGCUCCGCGUCACCGGCGGCCGCCCGGCCCGGGGCGGCCGCUGGAUCCGCUUCACCAAGGACCUCCGCCUCCCCGACAACUGCGACGCCGACGGCGUCCGGGCCAGGUUCGAGGACGAGAAGCUGCUCAUCAGCCUCCCCAUCGUCCCCGGCGCCGUCGCCGGCGGUGAGGCGGAGUCGGCCCACACGCCCACGCCGUCGCCCCCGGAGCCAUUGCCGAGGCCGGCGUUGCUGCCGCCGCCGUCUUCGGUGCCUCCUCCUCCACGUUUGCCUCCGCCUCCCGGGAAGCCCAGCUUCUUCGAGCCAAAGAUCCGGCCUCCGCCGGUGCCACCACCACGGGCGCCAUCAUCACGCUCACGUCCACUUCCUCCGUUUCCGGCUGAGCCCCCCACUGUUUUCGAGCCAAAGCCACCGCCGGUGGAGAAGCCCACUGCUUUCGAGCCAAAGGUCCGACCGCCACCGCCUCCAUCACCGCCGCCAAUAUCACGCCCACCUCCUCCAUUCUCGUCUAAGCCCCCCAGCUUUUUCGAGCCAAAGGUACCGCCGCCGCCUCCACCACCGCCGGCGCCAAAGCUCCGACCACCGCCGCCAAUAUCACGGCCACUUCCUCCGUUCCCGUCAAAGCCCCCCAGCUUUUUCGAGCCAAAGGAACCGCCGCCGCCUCCACCACAGGAGCCAGCACCGGCACCAUUGCCGUCGCGUCCACCUCCACCUCCGCCACCACGUGAACGUGCGCGGUUACCGUCGUUUCCACCACCACCACCACCCCCUCCUCCGGCGAAGCCCACUUUCUUCGACCCAAAGCUCUGGCUGCCGUGGCGGCAUUCAGAUCACGCUCGAGACACCCCUCCCGAGCCCACAUUAACAAAGCCCGCCACCACCACCGAACAGAAGCCCUGGGCACCGGCGAUCGUUCCUGGCCCAAGGACGGCCGAUCCGGAGCACGGGCCACCGCCAUUGCCACCUCCAAAACAGAGUACAGCCACUCUGCUUCAGCCCAAGUCACCCCCGCUGUCAGAUAUACCAAUCGGCGUCUCAUCUCCAUCGCCGCCUCCACCACCACCACCACCACCACGGCCGCCUAGUCAUCGUCUCCCGGAAGCAAAGGCGAGGACGAAGAAGAAGCAUCGCAAGGUGCAAGAUGAAGACGGCAAGGUAAGGUUGCCAUUGCUGGAGGAGAUGAAGAGGCAAGAGGAGAAGAAGAUGGAGGGCAAGAAAGCGAUGGAGGCGGCCAACUGUGGAAGACAGCCGGCUAAGCACGACAAUAUGGAAGUGUCACCGAAGCUGCUGCCGGCGAGCGAGGAUCCAGGGACGCCGCCCACGACGGAGCUGGUGACGAACAUGGCAGCCGCGGUGGUGGUGCUGGUGGGGAUCGCGCUGUCAGUUUGGCGCACCAUGAGCAGCAGUUAA
rnacentral:rRNA from 1 species